rnacentral:rRNA from 1 species
GCGCUAUCAGAUGAGCCUAGGUCGGAUUAACUAGUUGGUGAGGUAAAGGCUCACCAAGGCGACGAUCCGUAACUGGUCUGAGAGGAUGAUCAGGCACACUGGAACUGAAACACGGUCCAGACUCCUACGGGAGGCAGCAGUGGGGAAUAUUGGACAAUGGGCGAAAGCCUGAUCCAGCCAUGCCGCGUGUGUGAAGAAGGUCUUCCGAUUGUAAAGCACUUUAAGUUGGGAGGAAGGGUACUUACCUAAUACGUGAGUAUUUUGACGUUACCGACAGAAUAAGCACCGGCUAACUCUGUGCCAGCAGCCGCGGUAAUACAGAGGG